rnacentral:rRNA from 1 species
UACGUAGGGUGCGAGCGUUGUCCGGAUUUACUGGGCGUAAAGAGCGCGCAGGCGGUCGUUCAAGUCGCGUGUGAAAGCCCCCGGCUCAACUGGGGAGGGUCACGCGAUACUGAUCGACUCGAAGGCAGGAGGAGGGUAGUGGAAUUCCCGGUGUAGUGGUGAAAUGCGUAGAUAUCGGGAGGAACACCAGUGGCGAAGGCGACUACCUGGCCUGUUUCUUGACGCUGAGGCGCGAAGCUAGGGGAGCAAACGGGG